GAUGAACGCUGGCGGCGUGCCUAAUACAUGCAAGUCGAGCGAACAGACGAGGAGCUUGCUCCUCUGACGUUAGCGGCGGACGGGUGAGUAACACGUGGAUAACCUACCUAUAAGACUGGGAUAACUUCGGGAAACCGGAGCUAAUACCGGAUAACAUGUUGAACCGCAUGGUUCAACAGUGAAAGACGGUCUUGCUGUCACUUAUAGAUGGAUCCGCGCCGCAUUAGCUAGUUGGUAAGGUAACGGCUUACCAAGGCAACGAUGCGUAGCCGACCUGAGAGGGUGAUCGGCCACACUGGAACUGAGACACGGUCCAGACUCCUACGGGAGGCAGCAGUAGGGAGUCUUCCGCAAUGGGCGAAAGCCUGACGGAGCAACGCCGCGUGAGUGAAGAAGGUCUUCGGAUCGUAAAACUCUGUUAUUAGGGAAGAACAAAUGUGUAAGUAACUAUGCACGUCUUGACGGUACCUAAUCAGAAAGCCACGGCUAACUACGUG
rnacentral:rRNA from 1 species